GGGUGAUUAGUUAAUUUAUAACGUGAGCAUGUCAAGCUUGAAUAGCUGUUUAGGUAUCAUCUU
rnacentral:tRNA from 1 species